AAGGGGAGCAAUCCCUGAGUAAAGUGGCGACCGGGUGAGUAACACGUGACUAACCUACCCUCGAGUGUGGAAUAACAUCGGGAAACCGAUGCUAAUACCGCAUAAUAUCGCAAGAUCAAAGGAGCAAUCCGCUUGAGGAGGGGGUCGCGGCUGAUUAGCUAGUUGGCGGGGUAACGGCCCACCAAGGCGAAGAUCGGUAUCCGGCCUGAGAGGGCGCACGGACACACUGGAACUGAAACACGGUCCAGACUCCUACGGGAGGCAGCAGUGGGGAAUUUUGCGCAAUGGGGGAAACCCUGACGCAGCAACGCCGCGUGGAGGAUGAAGCCCCUUGGG
rnacentral:rRNA from 1 species